AUAUAUAUAUAUAUAUAUAUAUAUAUAUAUAUAUAUAUAUAUAUAUAUAUAUAUAUAUAUAUAUAUAUAUAUGUGUGUGUGUGUGUGUGUGUGUGUGUGUGUGUGUGUAUAUAUGUGUGUGUGUGUUUUAAUUGAGCAUGUACUUUAUCGCUCAUUAUUUGUAUUAUUUUAUAGUCUUUGUUGCUCAUCAUUAUCAAAGGUGCUAAUCUUUUUGUACCUGGCUGUAUAUGCUCUGUAUUGCUAUGGGUAUUGGGGAUAUAUGCCAUAUUAUAUAGUGUAUAUUAUUCCUAUAUGACUAAUGUCAACUGUGCUGCUAUUGGUGUUUCAACAAAACAGCUCUGAGGGAUAAUGUAAUGUCGUUAUGAAUUAGGUUAAACCUCAUUCAAACCUCAUUCAAAACAGCUCUAAGGGAUAAUGUAAUGUCGUUAUGAAUUAGGUUAAACCUCAUUCAAAACAGCUCUAAGGGAUAAUGUAAUGUCGUUAUGAUUUAGGUUAAACCUCAUUCAAACCUCAUUCAAAACAGCUCUAAGGGAUAAUGUAAUAAGGGAUAAUGUAAUGUCGGAUAAUGUAAUGUCGUUAUCAAUUAGGUUAAACCUCAUUCAAAACAGCUCUGAGGGAUAAUGUAAUGUCGUUAUGAAUUAGGUUAAACCUCAUUCAAAACAGCUCUAAGGGAUAAUGUAAUGUCGUUAUGAAUUAGGUUAAACCUCAUUCAAAACAGCUCUAAGGGAUAAUGUAAUAAGGGAUAAUGUAAUAAGGGAUAAUGUAAUGUCGUUAUCAAUUAGGUUAAACCUUAUUCUUCUUGUUCGUUAUUUUUUUUUGCGCUAAACAACCGUUUAAUUUUUACAAAGAAUAAACUUGAACAACUAAUUUGAUCUCUGUUAAAUCUUUCAUGUUUUUAUGUCUUUCAAUGUUUAUGGUGAAAUGUUGCUACGCGUUUUAAAUGAUGUUACUUAAUGAGACAGAGACUUGGUGUCAAUUGGGCAUAGAGUCGAUUAGAUUUCCAGUUAUGCUUUCAUUCUAGUCUAUACACAUCAUCCUCUGUAG
rnacentral:lncRNA from 1 species